rnacentral:lncRNA from 1 species
AUUUUCAUUAUAAAUUAUUUCCAGGAAAACAGUCAUUCUCUUUAGAUAUUUUAUUUCAAAACAAAUUAUUUAUAAAGUGCUUAAUUUUUUGUAAUUUUGUCUUAAUAGAAAUACCUACUUCUCUAUCUGCUAAUAUUGACCUUCAGGCACUCAGGAGAAGGGCAUGGCCCUAACCCUCAAAUAUGAGUAUUAUAGAAAAUUAACAGUUGCCCAGGCAACCAUCCAAUGAGAAUCGUAGGAAAAUUAACAGUUCCACAGGCAAUCAUCCAGUGACCAUAUUGUCUUUUUUUAUGACAUACCAUCUGACGCUUUCUGAAGAAGAUCUUGGGGUGUAAAUAACCCAGGACAGCACCGGAAGAAGCUGUCAGACCACAAGCUAAGUUCUUUAAUAAAAUCUAUAGCUUGCCUGUAAACAUACUAUUUUUAUAUAAAAUAACUUCAUUAGUUCUAAAAUGUAGAUCUUAAAUUGUGACCAUAAUAAAAUGAGAAAAUAAAGUGUUUAUA